UACAGAGGGGGCCAGCGUUAUUCGGAAUUAUUGGGCGUAAAGGGCGCGUAGGCGGCCAUGCGUGUCUUCCGUGAAAUCCCCCGGCUUAACCUGGGAACUGCGUCUGAUACUGGGAGGCUUGAGUAUGGGAGAGGGAUGUAGAAUUCCAGGUGUAGAGGUGAAAUUCGUAGAUAUUAGGAAGAACACCAGUGGCGAAGGCGGCUCACUGGCCCGGUACUGACGCUGAGGCGCGAAAGCGUGGGGAGCAAACAGG
rnacentral:rRNA from 1 species